rnacentral:rRNA from 1 species
CCUACGGGAGGCAGCAGUGAGGAAUAUUGGUCAAUGGGCGUAAGCCUGAACCAGCCAAGUCGCGUGAGGGAUGAAGGUUCUAUGGAUCGUAAACCUCUUUUAUAAGGGAAUAAAGUGCGGGACGUGUCCCGUUUUGUAUGUACCUUAUGAAUAAGGAUCGGCUACCUCCGUGCCAGCAGCCGCGGUAAUACGGAGGAUGCGAGCGUUAUCCGGAUUUAUUGGGUUUAAGGGGUCCGUAGGGGGAAUGCCAAGUAAGGGGUAAAAUCUCGGGGCUCAACCUCGCUCCGCCGUUGAAACUGGCGUUCUUGAGUGGGCGAGAGGUAUGCGGAAUGUGUGGUGUAGCGGUGAAAUGCAUAGAUAGCACGCAGAACUCCGAUUGCGAAGGCAGCAUACCGGCGCCCAACUGACGCUGAGGCACGAAAGCGUGGGUAUCGAACAGGAUUAGAUACCCUGGUAGUC